ensembl:lncRNA
CUCCACUCAGUUCUUACCAGUAGCAUAACUCUCUCUCCUCCCUGUGUCCCCUGCCAAAAAAUGCCUUCAGUCCUUUCUAAGCGCUCUUUUUUAUGGUGUUGGGGCCAAAAUCACACAUCCUUGCUCACUCUUUUUCAUUGAGAGCUAUGGCUAUAAAUGAUAGUGAUACUUUUACCUAUUUAUGUUUAAGACAAGCAGUUAACUUAGCUGGAUUCAAACUCCAGGCUUUCUUGUGUGCUGUGGGAAGCAGCCUACACUCUAUUCAGUUCUUUUCUUUUCAUAUUGAUUGGGUUACUUGGAGUCUGGCCUACUUGAUGGGCAAUUUACUGGUCAACCAAAGAUUUCCGCAGAACUUAUACACAGAAUUUCAUUCAGGCUUCCCGUGUCUCAUUCUCCACACUGUGGGAAUUUCCUCCCACUUUCCAGCCACUAUUGAGGAUGCCUGUCGGCAAAACUCCUUGAAAUUGGAAACUUUUACAGGGAAAUUCCUUUCCUCCAAGAGUGCACCCUCCUCCAGUGUUGGCUUGCUUUUCAUUGUUCUCCAUGGUUUUAGAUAGCUGUCUUUAUAGUCCUUCUGGAGUUUCCAGAUGAUACCUGUUGGGGGCUUAGCUUGAUAACAUGUAUUCCUCUUAUUACUAAUAGCCAGACCUGCAUGUCUUCCUUGACCUGAUGCGGAAGAGUUUCAUCUUACGAGACAAUAAUGUGCUAGCUAGUUUUACUGAUUCGUACUCUAAAGUACCCAAGCCUAAAAUAGUGGAGCUGUCUAUCCCACAUGAAACCUCUCUGAUUUUCACUGUUUUUUAUAAAGAGUAUACAUGUUCAGAUUUCUGUAGGAUUUUUAAAGCAUCACAGUUUUUAUAAACUAUAUAUAUUUCCAAGGUCUGCCUGCUUUGUAUUUUGCCUGGCGAGAGUAGGAAUAAUCUCUUGGUAUGAGUAUCUAUUUUCCACUCAUCCAAAACAGAUAGAGCAUUGAUUUCACCAAGCGUUAUGUUCUAGUUUGUCUUGGUAUUAUUAUUAGAAAUACCUGGUGAUUCAUUUGAGCUAACUAUUCUUCUCUACCCUCAUUCCCAGCAUUAUCACCUGCUUUUACCACUUCCAAGGGGUGGAAACAUUCUCCACAAUGCAUUUAUUCAUGCCAGAGAAAAAUCUAGAAAAAAAGUGAAUAAAACGAACAAAUUCUUUCCCCUUAGUAUCUGUAGCCAACUUGCCUAAGUGUUCUUUCCCACAGUUCAAGUCUUCAGUCUGUAGUUCAUAAGCAAAGGGGUGCCAUGAGCUCUGAUCUUGCUGGAAGAGAGAAUAAGUGAGCUACCCCAUGGUAGACGUUUCUGGCCAUCUGAAAUGAGUCGAUGAAUGUGGCUUUUGUGUAAAGGCUAAAAAUAAAAUGUGACCACUUUCUUCUUUGAGUAGUUGAUACAGCAAAUAGUUGAAACAGAAGUUUUGAUUGGCAAAUCAGGAUGUGGUAGAUACUUUAACAAAGAGUAGAACUAUUACCAGUUUUGCGUGUUGCUAUUUGUGUCUCUUUCACAGUUUGAUAGUAUCAUAUCCUGGAAAGUGAAACCGAAAAUUCUUAUUUGUUUUUAAAUGACUAAAUUUGCUUUCAUGGUAUUUACAGUGAAAGAGUAAAUUAGAAAGUGAUUGGAUGACUGUUAAUGAGAAAAAGCAGGGUAAAAAUAUUUUAUUUAAUUAAUCGAAAAUAUUAUUGGGGUCAAAACAUAGGCUUAUGUUAUGUUUUGUGAAUUGUGCUGUGUUGUAGACAUUUGAUGAGUUCUCCUAACAUAGAAUUGAUCUAGCUCUUAAAAUACCAUUUUUGAUUGAAUAUAAAUGGUAUGUUUUAUAUAGGUAUCUUACAACUUCUGAAUUCGAGGAAGAUGAUAUGAAUCUUCUAAUUUAAUCUGUUUGAUUCGAAUGGUAUAUUUUUUCACAUUUCUCAUAAUUUCCACGUCAACUUCCAUGAUGAUCACGCAGGAAAGGGGCAUGAUUGCACUUCUUAUAGUGCACACAAUCACUAAAGCAUAGUUACUGUCUUUCUAUGGUCUUAAGAAAAAUUCAGAAACAGCAUACCAAUGUACACAUAAGAUAAAUAAGCUUAUGUGGAACAAUAAGUGUUCCAUUCUGAGAAAUACCUUGAUUGGUAUCCUGAUGUCUGAUGUUAUUGGUAGCUCUCAAACUCUUCCCCAAUUCUGCUUCCAUCUAAAUUUGUCUAUUGUUAAAUAAUCUAUCAGUCCAUUUUUAUCUAUCAUCUAUAUAUCUGUCUUUAUCAAUCAUUCAUCUGUAAUCUGUCUGUGCCAUUUGUCAUAAGAGACAGAAGGGCAUAGCAGUGGAAACUCAAAGGAGUUACCUCCAUGCGAAUGGACAGUGGUGAUGGUGAUCUGUGAGGUGGUGAUGUAUAGAAAGAAAAACUAGAAGAGAGCAUGCCCUAAGUCAGGGACCUUGUCCAGCAGGCACUCUGGCCUUGUUACACUGUGCUUGAAUAUGAAGAAAAACAAAAUAGUGCUGACAUUCUGUAUCUUCUGGGUGUGAGAAAACAGAGUAGAUAAGAUGGCUCUGCCAUUUCAGUCUUUUGUAUUUCCACAUUUUAAAGCUCAAUUUUAAUUAUGUAGAAUUAUUUUUCCAGCCCGUGUUAAACUAGACCAUGGAUUGGCAGACUUUUUCUGUAAAUUGCCAGAUACACACUGUCAGUUCUGAAAGCAUUGUGGUCUUUGUUGUGGCCAAUCUGCUCUGCUGUUUUAUUAUGAAAGCAGCCAUAGAUAAUUUAUAAUGGAAUGAGUGUGCUAUGCCUUUCUUCCAAUAAGGCUUUAGAAAAGCAGCCUGUGGGCUAGAGUUUACCCUUCAGGAAACCAGAGCAUUGGCUAAACUGGAACCUGAAAAAAAAA